UUCCCCAUGGUGUAAUGGCAACACUACUGAUUUUGGUUCAGUCAUUCUAGGUUCGAGUCCUAGUGGGGAAACCA
rnacentral:tRNA from 2 species